CCUACGGGACGCACCAGUGGGGAAUAUUGGACAAUGGGGGCAACCCUGAUCCAGCAAUUCUGUGUGCACGAAGAAGGUUUUCGGAUUGUAAAGUGCUUUCAGCAGGGAAGAAGAAAGUGACGGUACCUGCAGAAGAAGCGACGGCUAAAUACGUGCCAGCAGCCGCGGUAAUACGUAUGUCGCAAGCGUUAUCCGGAAUUAUUGGGCAUAAAGGGCAUCUAGGCGGCCAGACAAGUCUGGGGUGAAAACUUGCGGCUCAACCGCAAGCCUGCCCUGGAAACUGCCUGGCUAGAGUGCUGGAGAGGUGGACGGAACUACACGAGUAGAGGUGAAAUUCGUAGAUAUGUGCAGGAAUGCCGAUGAUGAAGAUAGUUCACUGGACGGCAACUGACGCUGAAGUGCGAAAGCGUGGGGAGCAAACAGGAUUAGAUACCCGAGUAGUC
rnacentral:rRNA from 1 species